rnacentral:rRNA from 1 species
GACGAACCGAGCGAACGUUGUUCGGAAUCACUGGGCUUAAAGGGCGCGUAGGCGGGUGCUCAAGUCCGUGGUGAAAUCCUCCCGGCUCAACCGGAGAACUGCCUCGGAUACUGGGUGCCUCGAGGGUGGUAGGGGGUAUGCGGAACUAUCGGUGGAGCGGUGAAAUGCGUUGAUAUCGAUAGGAACUCCGGUGGCGAAGGCGGCAUACUGGACCACCUCUGACGCUGAGGCGCGAAGCCAGGGGAGCAAACGGG